ACUCGGCGUAAGCGUGCGCAGGCGGUUAUGUAAGACCGAUGUGAAAUCCCCGGGCUCACCUGGGAACUGCAUUUGUGACUGCAUGGCUAGAGUACGGUAGAGGGGGAUGGAAUUCCGCGUGUAGCAGUGAAAUGCGUAGAUAUGCGGAGGAACACCGAUGGCGAAGGCAAUCCCCUGGACCUGUACUGACGCUCAUGCACGAAAGCGUGGGGAGCAAACAGGAUUAGAUACCCUGGUAGUCCACGCCCUAAACGAUGUCCACUGGUUGUUGGGAAUUAGUUUUCUCAGUAACGAAGCUAACGCGUGAAGUUGACCGCCUGGGGAGUACGGCCGCAAGGUUG
rnacentral:rRNA from 1 species